rnacentral:rRNA from 1 species
AUUGAACGCUGGCGGCAUGCUUUACACAUGCAAGUCGAACGGCAGCACGGACUUCGGUCUGGUGGCGAGUGGCGAACGGGUGAGUAAUACAUCGGAACGUACCCAGUAAUGGGGGAUAACUAUCCGAAAGGAUAGCUAAUACCGCAUACGCCCUACGGGGGAAAGAGGGGGAUCGCAAGACCUCUUGUUAUUGGAGCGGCCGAUGGCUGAUUAGCUAGUUGGUAGGGUAAAGGCCUACCAAGGCAACGAUCAGUAGCGGGUCUUAGAGGACGAUCCGCCACACUGGAACUGAGACACGGUCCAGACUCCUGCGGGAGGCAGCAGUGGGGAAUCUUGGACAAUGGGCUCAGGCCUGAUCCAGCAAUGCCGCGUGCGUGAAGAAGGCCUUCGGGUUGUAAAGCGCUUUUGUCAGGGAGCAAAUCCUUGUGGCUAAUACCCACCGGGGAUGAGAGUACCUGAAGAAUAAGGACCGGCUAACUACGUGCCAGCAGCCGCAGUAAAAC